ACGCUCGACACCUACGGAGGCAGCAGUGGGGAAUAUUGCACAAUGGGGGAAACCCUGAUGCAGCGAUGCCGCGUGAAGGAAGAAGUAUCUCGGUAUGUAAACUUCUAUCAGCAGGGAAGAAAAUGACGGUACCUGACUAAGAAGCCCCGGCUAACUACGUGCCACAGCCGCGGUAAUCUGAGCGGGCUGGCGAAGGC
rnacentral:rRNA from 1 species